rnacentral:rRNA from 1 species
UACGAAGGGGGGCUAGCGUUGCUCGGAAUUACUGGGCGUAAAGCGCGUGUAGGCGGUUCCGCAAGUCAGGUGUGAAAGCCCAGGGCUCAACCCUGGAAGUGCACUUGAUACUACGGAGCUUGAGUACUGAAGAGGAGAGCGGAAUUCCCGGUGUAGAGGUGAAAUUCGUAGAUAUCGGGAGGAACACCAGUGGCGAAGGCGGCUCUCUGGACGAUAACUGACGCUGAGACGCGAAAGCGUGGGGAGCAAACAGG